UUUAAAUAUAGCCAUGAGUUUCUGUGUCUAACUUUGAUCGUCCAUCUUAUUUUAAUUUUUUUAUGAUUAGUAUUUUUAUUGUUAUUAGAUGAUAAAACAUGAAUGGUACUUUAUAUGUGGUUUAUGUUUUUUAUUUUUUAAAAAACAAUAAAUAAAACGAACCAUUAAAGUUAGACACGAAAUCCUGUCUGCGCUUAAA
rfam:Oryza glumipatula chromosome 3, whole genome shotgun sequence.